rnacentral:lncRNA from 1 species
CGUUGCAACUUCAGUGGAUCAAUUCCCACCUCAUUGGCCAAUCUCACCCAACUAGUUUAUCUGGACCUAUCAUUUAACGAAUUUGUUGGUCCAAUCCCAUCUCUACAUAUGUCCAAAAAUCUCACCCAUCUAGACCUCUCAUGCAACGCUCUGCCCGGUGCGAUCUCAUCCACAGACUGGGAACAUCUCUCCAAUCUUGUUUAUGUUGACUUGAGGAACAAUUCAUCUCUCCAAUCUUGUUUAUGUUGACUUGAGUGGAAGCAUCCCAAGAUCUCUGUUUUCACUUCCAAUGCUACAGCAGCUUCAGCUUGCCAACAACAAAUUUGGUGGCCCAAUUCCCGAAUUUUCAAAUGCAUCAUACUCUGCACUUAGUACGCUUGAUUUAAGUGCCAAUAGAUGAGAAGGGCCUAUUCCCAUGUCCAUAUUUGAACUCAAAAAUCUUAAAAUCCUUAUGCUUUCUCCUAACAAGCUCAAUAGCACUGUACAGCUAGCUGCAAUUCAGAGGCUUGGGAAUCUUACUAGACUCGAGCUUUCAUACAACAACUUGACAGUGAAUGCCAGUAGUGAUUCUUCCUUCCCCUCACAGGUUAGCAGACUGAGAUUGGCUUCUUGCAAACUGAGGGUGAUUCCUGAUCUUAAGAAUCAAUCAAAACUAUCUUACUUGGAUCUUUCAGACAAUCAAAUAUAUGGGGAAAUACCAAAUUGGGUUUGGGAAAUUGGGAAUGGUAAUCUUGUACAUCUAAAUCUUUCACACAAUCUCCUGGCCAGUCUGCAAAGACCUUAUAAUAUUUCUGAUCUCACUUGCAUGACUGUCCUAGACCUACAUUCCAACCAGCUCCAAGGAAACAUACCUUAACCACCACCAUAUGCAGCCCUUGUAGAUUACUCCAACAAUAAUUUUACUUCUUCCAUCCCAGAUGACAUUGGUAAUUCCAUGAACUUCACUGGCUUUUUUUCCCUUUCAAGCAAUUCCAUCACAGGAGUCAUCCCGGAAACUAUUUGCAGAGCAAAAAAUCUAUUAGUUCUUGACCUGUCAAAGAAUAAGUUGAGUGGAAAAAUGCCAACUUGUUUGAUCAAAAUGAGUGAGAUUCUUGGUGUUCUAAAUUUGAGGGGAAACAGCCUCAGUGGCACUCUAUCUGUCACAUUUCCGGGAAAUUGUGGAUUACAAACACUUGAUCUCAACGAAAAUCAACUAGGUGGAACAGUUCCAAAAUCCUUGGCCAAUUGCAGAAAGUUGGAGGUUCUAGACCUCGGGAAUAACAAGAUCAGAGAUACCUUUCCAUGCUGGCUAAAGAAUAUCUCAAGUUUGCGUGUCCUAGUUUUGCGAUCGAACAGCUUUUAUGGGAGUAUUACUUGUCGAGAGAACGAUGACUCCUGGCCAAUGCUUCAAAUUGUUGACAUAGCUUCGAACAACUUUGGCGGAAGAGUCCCCCAGAAAUGCAUAACUUCCUGGAAGGCAAUGAUGUCUGAUGAAGAUGAAGCACAAUCAAACUUCAAACACCUCCAUUUUGAGUUCCUGAAGUUAAGUAAAAUGUACUAUCAGGAUGUGGUGACAGUUACCAGCAAAAGUCGAGAGAUGGAAUUAGUGAAGAUCCUAAGUAUAUUCACAUCCAUUGACUUUUCAAUGAACAAUUUUGAAGGGCCAAUACCAGAAGAGAUAGGACGACUCAAAUCGAUUUACGGUCUGAACUUGUCACAAAAUGCUUUUACGGGCCCCAUCCCAUCAGCUAUUGGAAACUUGCAACAGCUUGGGUCUUUAGACAUCUCAAUGAAUCAUCUGAGUGGGCAGAUCCCCACAUCGCUUGCAAACAUAUCUUUUCUAUCCUUCCUGAAUCUUUCACACAAUGACCUAGUGGGAGAGAUUCCAACAGGUACUCAACUUCAAUCAUUUUUGCCAAAUUCUUUCGAAGGUAACGACGGCUUAUGCGGUCCUCCGUUGAAUGUUUGCCAAACAAAUUCCAGCAAGGCACUUCCUUCAGCAGCAGCUUCAACAGAUGAAAUCGAUUGGUUUUUCAUAGCGAUGGCAAUUGGAUUUGUGGUAGGCUUUGGAUCAGUUGUUGCACCUCUAAUGUUUUCAAAGAUGAUAUAAAUUAUUUCACGCGCAGAAACGAUAGUUGAUAAAUCUGUUGAUGAGAUUGUUAUACCAUUUGUUUAUACCAUUUGAUGAGAAACGAUACCAUUUGUUAACAAGAAAUUUCAAGUAAGAGGAUACAUUAUUUUGACAAUCUUUACCUCUAGUUCGAGUACUCCAAACCAGAUGUAGGCCGUUAAUUCAUAUAUAGACAUGCAUGCAUGUAAUAUGAGACAAAUGAUUAUUGCUACAACUAUAAAUAAAUUAAUAUAACUUGACUAUCGAAUAGACGUAGGAAAUAGCUACCGGUUUCAUAUUUAUUUGGGUGCUUAAUUUUUAGAGUAAUUUUAAAAUAAGAGAAUUCUUCAUUUUACUAAAAUAAGGAACCAUAAAAAAGAUCUAAAUUUUAAUUUUUUUAAACUUUUCCUUUAUUUAAAUAAAAUAAAAUAAAAAGUUUAUGACUUAGAAAAUGACUAUUAUCUUGUUCGCUUCGGAGCAGAGGAGGAUGUGGAAUUUGCUCUCACGCAAGGCCCUUGGACUAUCUUUGGGCAUUACUUAACUGUUCAAAAGUGGUCUCCAUCCUUUGAUUGCUUAUCCGAUAAGAUUGAAACCAUAGUGGCGUGGAUCAGACUUCCAGGCAUGCCAUUGCAUUACUAUCAUAAAAGGGUCCUUCGAAUCCUGGGGGAAGUGGUUGGUCGUGUUAUAAGGAUAGAUUACAAUACGGAGGCUGCAAAACGUGGAAAAUUUGCUCGAGUUGCUGUUGAAAUCUGUUUGAAUAAGCCUUUAGUCUCACAAUUUCAGUUGAAUGGCAAGAUUCAAAGGAUUGAAUAUGAGGGGCUCCCCACUAUAUGUUUUGAGUGUGGCAAGUAUGGGCACACAACUGAUACCUGUCAAAGCAAACAGGGGGUGCCGAGAGGGCAAGGCUGCGACGGAGUAUAUCAACCGGAGGGUGAAGCGACGGGAGUAACGAUGGAUCUUGCAACCGUUGAUAACCCGAAUAAUUCGCUUUUUGGUCCUUCGAUGAUUGUUGCUAAAAAAAGGAAGGCCACGGAAGGCUAAGGAAUGUACGAUCCAAGGAAAUUAUAAUCAAGCCCAGAAUGGUAAUGUUCGAUCUGGUUCCCGUUUUUCGCUCCUCAAUGCUAAAGAUAAUAUGGAUAAUGAGCGCAAAAUCAAUGAAAGGAUUCCUAGCAAUCAUGCACUUGAGAUCAGCCUGGACUUGCAAGAUGAAAACCAAAAUAGCAAUCAGCCCAUGCAACAUAACCAUAGAUAUUCCUUACGUAAACACAAUCAAAGGUCAAACCGUGGCAACGUUGCUCAUCCUCCCAGCCCUAGCCUGGUCCAGUUACGUCCCCGCCCUCCCCAUGCAAACCAUGCAGACCAAAACAAACUCUUAUCACCAGACAUACACAAUAUUAACCCAGCCCUUGCCACAUUACAGAAUCAGUCAGCCACUACCAGAGCCAACCAACCCCACCUCGCAAGUACUUCCAUUGAUCCUCUUAAACAUUCGGUGUACUCCUUUGCUAAUCCCCCUGAUGGUGCGGACAUGCUGACUCAGUUUGCUAGAGCGAACCCUCUUUUUGCCAAUAUGACAAAGGAUAAUAGUAACAAUCCCAUGGGUGAACCACCUGAUAAUGGGGGAUGGAAUGGGAUUGGUGAAGAUGAGGAAUCGGAAGGAAGCACUUAUGUGGCUCGAUGUGGUGUUGACGAGUCCUGAGAUGAUUCAGAAUCUGAAGGGUCUCUAGAGGAAGAGACAGAUAUGGAGUUGGAGCUUCAAGCUCACACCCUUCGUCAGUAAGGGUUUUGGUUCUUUUCUCCAAUCUUUUUGUUUAAUGAUUUUUUCCAUUAUGUUUUAGAAUUGCCAAGGUGCACUUGCCCCUGAAUUUCAAAGGACUUUCAAAGCCCUUAUUCAGAAGUAUAAUCCUUCCAUGGUUGCAUUGUUUGAACCAAGGAUAAGUGGGAAAAAGGCUGAUGAGUUUAUUUUUCGAAGUGGAUUUGAGCGGUCGCAUAGAAUUGAGGCCGAAGGUUUCUCCGGAGGUAUUUGGUUAAUGUGGAAAGACUGUGUUAAAGUGGAGGUGAUCAUAAACCAUAAGCAGUUCAUUCAUUUUCGUAUUGCUAAUGAUAUUGGUUUCAUCUCUUGGGUUACUGCAGUUUAUGCAAGUCCAAAUAAACAUAUUAGGAACCUUCUAUGGAAGGACCUUGAAGCAGUGGCUCGUAAUGUGCCGGGACCUUGGCUCCUUGGAGGUGAUUUUAAUACUAUUUUACAUCCCUCAGAGAGGAGAGGUGGUUCGACUCGCUUAAAUGGUGUUUGUCAGCGGUUUAGUGAUUGGUUUCAUCGGAAUCAGUUUUGUGAUCUUGAAUUCAGUGGGCCGAAAUUCACUUGGGAGAGAGGAAACUUGCUGAAGCGCCUAGAUAGAAGUUUUUGUAAUGAUGAGUGGGUUCAGAAAUUUGUAAAUUCCCAAGUCAUGCACUUGCCUAAACUCAACUCGGACCAUCGCCCUAUUCUAGUUAAUUUUGAGAGGGUAAGUCGGCAAGUUAGUGGUGUUAAGCCAUUCCGCUUCUUGGCGUCUUGGCUCACUGACAGCAGGUUUAAAACCUUUUUUUUUGAGACGUGGCGAGGGAGUGGAGAUUAUGUGAACUCGGCUGGCCAUUUUAUUACGGAGGUGCGGAAAUGGAACAAGGAGGUCUUUGGGUACAUACACAAACAGAAAAAUAAUAUCUUAGCAAGAUUGGCCGGAAUUCAACGUGCUCUAGAGUGGCACAGAUCUAGAAACCUGAUGGAUCUAGAGAUGAACCUAAAGAGGGAAUUGGAGAGUAUUUUGAGUCAGGAGGAGAUUUUGUGGUAUAAAAAAUCUAGGCGUGAUUGGAUUGAGUUUGGGGAUCGAAAUACUAAGUAUUUUCAUCGCCAGACAAUCAAGAGGAGAAGACAGAACCAAAUAGUGAUGCUUAAUGAUGAGCAUGACAAUUGGAUUGAGGAUGUGGAUAUUAUCAAGCUCAUGCUGUAACAUUUUUUAAGAAUCUUUAUACAAAAGAGCCUGGGGAGCAUAUCCCUUACCCUCUGGUGAGUAUAUUUCCUAGAGUUGAUGAGAUUAAUAUUGGCAAACUUAAUGCGGGAGUAUGUGAGGACAAAAUUAGGGAGGUAAUUUUUAGUAUGCAUCAUUUUAAGGCUCCGGGGAUUGAUGGCCUGUAUGCUAUAUUUUAUCAGACACAAUGGGAUACUGUGGGAAGUUCGGUUUGUAAUUUGGUGCAGGGGAUUUUUAAUGGACAGCGAAUUCCUAGUGAGAUUAAUAAAACUCUAAUUGUGCUUAUUCCGAAAGUUGAGCAUCCGGAUAGCCUCCGAUUAUAUCGACCUAUAAGUCUGUGUCCUGUCAUAUACAAAGCAAUUACGAAGAUUAUGGCGAAUAGACUAAAGGGCAUUCUCCCUGACUUGAUAGGGCCAAUGCAGACUAGUUUUGUCCCUGGAAGGCACAUAAGGGAGAAUAUUAUUAUUGCCCAGGAAAUUAUUUAUACCAUGCGUCGGAAGUCAGGAAAGAUUGGCCAGAUACUAAUUAAAGUGGAUCUGGAGAAAGCUUAUGAUAGACUAAGUUAGGAUUUCAUCUUUGAAACUCUAUGUGAAGCGGGGCUUCCGUAAAAUCUUAUCCAUAUCACAAUGGAUUGUAUCACUUCAGCCUCUAUGCAGAUUUUGUGGAACGGGGAAUGUACUGAGGAUUUUGUUCCAUCACGGGGGAUUAGACAAGGAGACCCUAUUUCUCCAUAUAUUUUUGUCCUUUGUAUCGAGAGACUUAGCCACAGAAUUCUUCGUGCGGUUAAUACUGGCACUUGGAGGCCAAUUCGACUUUCUAAGCGAGGUACCCCUAUCACUCAUGUAUUUUUUGCUGAUGAUUUAUUACUUUUUGCUGAAGCUUCUUGCAAUCAAGCUGCUAUGAUCAAUGAUGUUCUUAAUACGUUCUGCGUGAGCUCGGAGGCGAAGGUCAGUAAACAGAAGUCUCAAGUUUUCUUUUCUAAGAAUGUUAAACCGUGUAAUGUGCGUAAUAUUGGCACAACUCUUGGGUUCUCUAUGACUACGGAUUUGGGUAAUUAUUUGGGUAUGCUGGUUUUGCACUCGAGGGUUAGUAAAGCAACAUAUCAUGGCAUAUUAGAGAAUGUGGAGCGUAAACUAAAUGGUUGGAGUGCUAAACAUUUAUCUCUUGCUGGUAGAGUCACUCUCACACAGACUGUGCUGCAGGCGUUGUCGAUUUUUUCAAUGCAAACAACGAGACUACCUACAGCGAUUAUAACUAAACUUAAGCAUCAAUGCCGUAGAUUUAUUUGGAGUGGAAACUCGGAGGUUCAAAAGAUUCAUCUGAUUAAUUGGGCUGAGGUGUGUCGUUCGAAACUAUCAGGAGGUCUGGGAUUGAAGAAUUUAACGAUUAUGAAUGAAGCACUAUUAAUGAAACUUGGUUGGAGCUUGCUAGUCAAUAGUAAUAGCUACUGGGCACAGGUUCUCUGCUCGAAGUAUGGCUUUGAUCCUACCACUAUGUCAACUUCCUUGCCUACAAAAUAUGGCUCAUAUUUGUGGAAGGCUAUUGGUCGGGUUUGGCCAAAGGUUUUGCAGGGGCUACGAUGGAAUGUGAGGGACGGUAAGCGGAUUCGUUUUUGGCAGAAUGCUUGGGUUGCGGAUGUUGGGCCAUUCUUUCAUCUUGCCGUGGCUCCUAUUCCUGAAGCUAUUUUACAUGAUUGGGUAGCUGAUGCCAUUAGUUUUGAUGGUUCAUGGAAUUGGAGCCGUUUUGGUUUUCUUCUCCCUCAUAAUGUGGUCUUAAUGAUUGCAGCUAUUACGCCUCCUACCCCGGUUAGUAAGGCUGAUCAGUUUUAUUGGGGAUCAUCAAAUUCGGGAAUGUUCACGGCAAGAACAGCUUUUAACUCGAUUCUUGGAAACUUUGCUCAGGACGAGGAGGUGAGAUGGAAGAGUAUCUGGAAAUGGAGAGGGCCUCACAGAAUCCGGACUUUCCUUUGGCUUACUGCAAAGGAAAGAAUUAAAUGCAAAGCCGAGCUUUAUAGAAGACAUAUUGGGGUGGAUAUGAUAUGCAUGCGAUGUGGUUAUGCUGUAGAGGAUACGGCUCAUGCCCUUCGUGACUGUGUCACAUCUAGGAGAAUCUGGAAUAUGUUGUUAGCAGGUCAUAAGAGUGGUUCUUUCUUCACGUUGCCAACCCGUGAUUGGAUGUUCGCCAAUAUUCAAGGUAUGGGUAAUCAUGGUAGUAAUCGAGAAUGGAGUUGCAUAUUCGGAGUAGCCAUCUGGUGUAUAUGGGUGGCAAGGAAUCAAUUGCUUUUUGAAAAUAAAGUUGUGAAUGCGGAAAGCAUGGUUCGGGAUAUCAAGAUACGAGCUGAGGAGAUACUUCGUACUUCUGAGGCUUUUCAAAGUGAUAGCGGGCUGAGAGUUCAAGAUAUGUUUGGUUGGUUGCCUCCUCGAUGGCCGUAUUAUAAAUUAAACUCUGAUGGUGCAAGGAAGGGAUCCGGUUUGGCGGGUGCAGGGGGUUUAAUUAGAGAUGCUACUGGUAGAUGGCAUGGUGGCUUCUGCAUGAAUAUUGGUAUUUGUUCGGUAACAAUUGCAGAGUUUUGGGGUUUGUAUCAGGGACUGAUAUUGACUUGGAAAAUGGGUAUAAGAUUGUUGGUGGUGGAGAUAGAUAGCAUCUAUGUUACUCAGUUGCUAAACAGGAAAAGUCUUAAUGCUACCUUGCCUCUUGUUAAUGAUAUUCUUGGUCUUCUCUCCCGUGAGUGGUAGGUGUCUGUUCAUCAUGUUUAUCGCGAAGCUAAUUUCGCGGCAGAUUUCAUGGCUAGCCAUGCACUUACUCUCCCUCUUGGCAUUCACUAUUUUACUAUCCCUCCACUGGGCGUCAAGACCUGGCUUCGGAAUGCUGGGUUAGGAACUGCGUUUCCUCGUGCUUGUAAGCCUUAGCUUUUGCUGGGGUCCUUUGUUUUAGCAAAAAAUAAAAUAUUCUUUUAUCAUAAAAUUACUGUGUAUGAGUAUAUCGUCCAUUUAUUCGUUUGGAGAAUCGGAAGUCGUAUUUCAUACGUUCAACAGAAAGAGAAAUUUUUAGAAGAUGACAAAGAAAUGAGCCCAAUCAAGACCUUAAAAGGACUUUCAUAUCUUCCCAUCUUAUUGUCAAACAAAUGAAGUCUUCAGGAUAUUACUUUCAAAAUGGACAUGUAGCCAAAAGCUCUCAAUUUUCUUCUCCAAUUGCCUUCUUCUUUAAGCUGCGCGACAGGAUUAAUUUGGCGUAAGAGUUGGACACGUAUUUAAUCCUGCAGGUACUGACACUCCUUCAAUAUCCUUCUAAAACCCCAUUUUUGAAUUAAUUAAUUGAUCAUUGACGAAAAUCACAUAAAUGUACAAGUUUUAACUAAAACCGACGCAUACUUCUUACUGGAAUUCUUCUCGUCCGCACAAUGUUCGGCUUCCCAUCCACACAAAUCGUAAACACCAUUCUCUGCUUUAAGAUUUCUUGUGAUAAGUUCUAAAUAAUGUAAAACAAUAAUAAAAUUUAUGAAUAUAUGGGCUGGAGUGCAGGAAAAUCAUAAUAUAACGAGAAUAGCUGUCAUUGUAGUAUUUGUCCUUUUAUGUAAAUCUGGGUAAAGAUUGAAUUUUAAAUGCAAAAAUGGUGUUGUUUUAUAAAAAUUUUGGAGUUAGUGGCAAAUAGCAGAAAACAUAAGUUGGAGUAUCUACAUUAGAAAUAGGCCAGCGAUAUAAAGUUACUUUGCCUCAUAAAUAGAGUCGGCCUCUAAAAACAUUACUAAAAGGUUCUUUACGUGAAAUUUUAUUAUUUAUUUAAAAAAUCACAUCAUCUAUCAUUUUAAAACUCAUUUUAGAAUUAUACUUCUUCUAAUACUGAAAAGUAACAACACCCUUUAUUUCUAAACUAUUUAAUUUUUUUUCUACAGUUUUUAGUUGUUUUUUCACUCUAAAAAUUCUUCGAAAAAAAUAAAUAAAUUAAAAUCUUCUUCCCUCACCCUUCACAUAAAUAACUUUAUGGGUGAUAAAUUUUUUAAAGCAUUGUUAUCCUUAUUCUUCUCUUCAAACUUUCUCUCUCAACAAACCUAAAAAACAAUAGUUUCACAAAAAUUAUAAAAAUUAAUCAAUAAAAUAAAGAAAAAGAGAAAUGUGUUAUUUUAAAUUUUUGUAAACCAAUUGAAUAGUUAGAGUCAAAAAUUGAAAAAAAUUAACAAAAUAGAUUAAUAAUAAAUAUUAAGAGUUUGCAUUUUGCAGCAAUAUAGAGAAAAAAAUAGUGUAAGUAAAAGAGAUGGGAUAAAAUAUAAAUUGUUCAUUAUAUUUGUGUGUGUUUAUCCUUAAAUGUCAUUUUAAUGGAAGAGAAGUUUUAUCAUUAUAUUAAAAAGGUGUUAAAAGCACCACUAUCAGAAAACAAAAAUAUUGCUUGAAAUUUUUGCAGAUAAACAUGAAGGUAUUGUUUGGUUGGGAGGAGAGGAUGGAGGAGAGGAAAGUAAUUCAAAUUCUAUUUUUAUUUCCAUUGUUUGGUUGCACAUAAUAUAUAACAAUUUAAUUUCCAUUAAAAUUUAAUAUCCCUUAUAGUGUAGAAUUUGAAAUUCACACCAAAGAGUGAAGAAUUCAAAUUCCUCUUAUGUUGAAAAUCUAAGCUUCCAAAAUUGUCCUUAAACAUUUUUACUUGUUUAAUGCUAUUAAUAAUAAUUAUUUUAUAAUAUUAUAAAUAAUUUAAUAUUAAUUAUAUUUAAUGAAUGAUCUAAGAAAUUUAAUAAAAUAAAUAAACUUAUUUAUUUAUUUAAUAUAAAAAUAUAUAAAUAUAAAUUAACUACUUCUAGAAGAAUAUAGCUAUUUUGUGAUUAUUUUAUUAUAUACAAAAAGUGUAAUCAUUUUAAAGUAUUAAAGAAAAAAAUUAUAAUUUCUUUCUCUAUUAAAUUUUAUGUCAAACCAAACAAUGAAAUUUAAUUUUACUAUUUUCUUCCACUCCUUUCUUUUCCUCUCCUCCCCUUUCUUAAAACCAAACACCAGCGAAAAAUCUUGAGAAGAGAAGCAAAUUGAGUGGGUAUUGCUGCAGUGUUCACCAAAAUUUUUGUCAGAUUCCAUCUUCUAACGCCUCUAAUUUUAGAAUUGGAUCUUCAAUAUGUUGUUUUCUAACACUUGAGGAGAGUAGCAAAACCGGUGGCUAUUGCUGCAAUGUUUGCCAAAAUUUUGACCAAAUUCUAGCAUCGAAGGCCUCUAAUUUGCAUUAGAAUUGGGUCUACAAUAUGUUGUUUCAAAACUCUUGAUAAGAGGAGCAAACACAUAUGGCUACUGCCAUAAUAUCUGUCGAAUUUUUACACUCUUGUAACUAGCGUGAGCUCAAAAUAAUUAAUAAUCACAAUCAAAAUAUAAUGAAAAAAUAUAACGGACUACUUUUAGUUAUAAUCCCACUCAUGAAAACUAAAAACUGAGUGCUAAUAUUGAUAACACAAUAAUUAGAGGUAAAGAGUUCGGGUGUCCGAUGCUGCGGCCUUCUUUUAGUUUUAUUUAAAAAAGAAUUAGAAAUAAAAAUUUAUAAUAUAAUCCACACGUAAGUUGCGUACGACGAGUUAUUUAAUUGAGUUGCUUACGGGUCAAGUCAACUCCGGUGGGUCCGCGGCAAAAAUUAUUUUUUUACCUAAUGAGCAGAUAGAAACCGGAGAAGACGUUGGGGCAAAUAAUUCAGUAGGUCCACUGGAAACUAGGGUACGUGGGGCCUGUCGCAGAGGUGCCCACAUUCACAAAGAUUUGUUAUCACUCAGUAAUCAGUUGUAGCAUACAAUAUGAAUACAUGGAAAAAUCUUACCCAUUUUUCACGGUGUGAAUUUUGUGAAGAGCAAGAAAUUUCAUGCUAUUGUAGUAAAAAAGUUGCUAGCUAUAUGCAUGUGCUUAACAAAAGUUGGAUUCGGUGCUGACUUUUCAACAAAGCCGACCAUCCUAUUGCCUGGAAUUCCUCCCUUCUCUUCUUUCUUCUUUUACCUUGCAAUUUUCUUGUCAUGUCGUGCCAAUUUAAAAUAAUAUUCGUGCAUUAUACGAUGAACCCAUGAGCGAAACCACUUUUUCAUGAGUUUACACAUAUAAAUUCGGCACAAGUGCUAUUACUUUAUUCAAGUUUCAAUUAUAUUCGGGGUAUUCAGUUACUAACUUGUUUCCAAUGAGUGUUCUACAGUUGUCAUGGCUUUUCUUGAUACCGUUGUUGACGAAUUUCGGGGGAAUCAAUACGGUUUUGGUUUCUGGCCAGUGUCAGAGUGAUCAGCAAUCCUUGUUGCUCCAAAUGAAGAGCAGCCUAGUAUUCAAUUCUUCUCUGUCUUUCCGUAUGGUGCAGUGGAGUCAAAGCACCGAUUGCUGCACCUGGUGCGGUGUGGAUUGCGAUGAGGCUGGUCGCGUCAUUGGUCUCGACUUGAGCGAGGAAUCAAUCUCCGGUAGAAUUGACAAUUCAAGUCCCCUUCUCAGUCUAAAGUAUCUGCAGAGCCUAAAUUUGGCUUUUAAUAUGUUCAAUGCCACUGAAAUUCCAUCCGGAUUGGGAAACCUCACAAAUUUGACUCAUCUGAAUCUCUCCAAUGCUGGCUUCGCGGGGCAGAUUCCAAUUCAGGUUUCAGCGAUGACAAGGUUGGUUACUCUUGAUUUGUCAAGUUCGUACUCCUUCGGAGGUCCCUUGAAACUUGAGAACCCGAAUUUAAGUGGGCUCCUUCAGAACCUCGCAGAGCUCAGAGCACUGUAUCUUGAUGGUGUAAAUAUAUCAGCUCCUGGAAUUGAAUGGUGUCAGGCUUUAUCAUCUUUGGUGCCUAAACUGCGUGUUUUGAGCUUGUCCAGCUGUUACCUUUCAGGCCCUAUCCAUCCUUCCCUUGCAAAACUUCAGUCACUCUCAGUGAUUUGUUUGGAUCAGAAUGAUCUGUCGUCUCCAGUUCCAGAGUUUUUGGCUGAUUUCUUUAAUUUGACGUCGUUGAACCUCAGUAGUAGUGGGUUGAACGGGACAUUCCCAGAAACGAUUUUACAGGUACACACACUUCAGACACUUGACUUAUCAGGCAACAGUUUACUUCGGGGCUCUUUGCCUGAUUUUCCCAAGAAUAGCUCUCUUCGAACCCUGAUGCUCAGUUACGCAAACUUCUCAGGUGUACUACCAGAUUCCAUAGGCAACCUUAAAAAUUUGUCGAGAUUAGAUCUUGCACGUUGCAACUUGAGUGGAUCAAUUCCCACCUCAUUGGCCAAACUCACACAACUAGUUUAUCUGGAUCUAUCAUCUAACAAAUUUGUUGGUCCAAUCCCCUCUCUACAUAUGUCCAAAAAUCUCACCCAUCUAGACCUCUCAAACAACGCUCUGCCCGGUGCGAUCUCAUCCACAGACUGGGAACACCUCUCCAAUCUUGUUUAUGUUGACUUGAGGAACAAUGCACUCAAUGGAAGCAUCCCAAGAUCUCUGUUUUCAAUUCCAAUGCUGCAGCAGCUUC